GUUGUCCAACAGAGAUGACAGCUUAGCCACCAUUCUCCUGUCACUCACCACCUUCACUGGGUCCAGAGGCCAUCCUAGAACAGGGCUGGCCCUCUGUUCAGUCUCUUCCUGUCCCCGGCAGAGAUGCUGCCGGGGGGUGUUUGUGUCUGUGGAAGUCUAUCACCAGCUCCUUGGUUUUUCCAGUGUUCCAAUUCUGCUGACACCAGUCCACAAAGUCUUGGGUCAGUUCUCUGUACUCCCUAUCAUCCCCAUCAGUAAUGAGGCCAACUACUGCAGAGUCAUCAGAGAACUUCUGCAGGAAGCACUGGGUGGAGUUGUGGGAGAAAUCAGCAGUGUAGAUGUUGAAGAGGAACAGAGCCAGAACUGUUCCCUUUUUUUUCUUUUUUUUCUUGUCACAUCAGUGUAAUAAGACCACUGCACAAGUUACAAAACAUAAACAGACCCCAGCCCUAUAUUUAAUAUUCCUCACGUUAUAUAUGAUACUGUGUGCAAUAUGGGGUAUUUAAGUUGCCUCCUCUAAGCCUUUUAAGCUCUGUGUUCAUUUUGAAGUUUACAGAUGGUUUACAGAAAACAGUUUCUUUUUGUUCCUUGCAGUCUCCCGUUUGGCUCUUUUGCCAUCAGAAUUGUUGUCUAAGGGCAAAGAAAGAUGCCCAACGGAUUUACUUUACCAAAUUGACCAUCCCAGCCUUGCCGUAAUGGUCCAUUUGAUUCACCUUUUAUUGUUUAGUUUAUUUUCAUUUACUGAAUACGGGACAGACUUGACUGGGGGAAAGAAGGGGAGAAAGAAAGAGGGAAAGAGAAACAGCUGAGAAGAGGGACGGGGGAGAAGGGCAAAAGACAAAAACCAACAGAAUGAGCAGAAAAAAAAAAAGAAGAAAAAAAUGCAUAUAUCAAUCACCUGGAUCACCUGCUGAGAAAGAAAAAAGAAAACAAGCAGAAGAGAACAAGAGUAAUAGAAUAAACAACAUCACAAUGAUAUAUGGGAAUAUGACAGUAAAUACUAAAUAUUAAACAUUAUUGUGCAGCACAUAAGAUCAACAGAACACAGUGUGCUUUGAGGUAGGAGCCAAAAAGGGUGUAGUUUGUGGGUGUGAUCACCCGUGUGUACACCUGUGAGCAUGGACGCGCUUGUUUUUUGUUUUUUAAAAGGUUCCUUCAUGUAAUAAUCUGCUAGAGGGUGUGGGGGGGCCACAGCCCCGUCCUCCAGGGCAUGAAGCAGGUGUGGAGGAGAUCAAAACUCCAGACAUCCAGAGGCCCCCAGAACACAAGAGACCAAGGAAGACCAACAGAGGGGCAGCUGCGCCACUGUCC
ensembl:lncRNA